rnacentral:misc_RNA from 1 species
AGCAGCCGCGGUAAUUCCAGCUCCAAUAGCGUAUAUUAAAGUUGUUGCAGUUAAAAAGCUCGUAGUUGAAUUUCGGGAUCAAUAUGUUGGUCGUGCCUUGGUACGUACUGGCAUUAUCGAUUCCUACCUUCUGAAGAACCUCGAUGUCAUUAAUUUGGUGUCUUGGGGAAUCAGGACUGUUACUUUGAAAAAUUAGAGUGUUUAAAGCAGGCUCGCGCUUGAAUACAUUAGCAUGGAAUAAUGAAAUAGGACGUUUGAUUCUAUUUUGUUGGUUUCUAGGAUCGACGUAAUGAUUAAUAGGGAUAGUUGGGGGCAUUAGUAUUCAAUUGUCAGAGGUGAAAUUCUUGGAUUUUAUUGAAGACUAACUACUGCGAAAGCAUUUGCCAAGGAUGUUUUCAUUAAUCAAGAACGAAAGUUAGGGGAUCGAAGACGAUCAGAUACCGUCGUAGUCUUAACCAUAAACUAUGCC